rnacentral:rRNA from 1 species
GAGCGAUCAAGUGCCUUAAGAGCAUUCGGUGGAUGCCUUGGCGCUGAGAGGCGAUGAAGGACGUGGUACGCUGCGAUAAGCCUUGGGGAGCUGCGAACGAGCUUUGAUCCAGGGAUUUCCGAAUGGGGAAACCCACCUUCGACCUUCCGUAUGGCGGCUGCAUGUGGUCUCGACCCCC